rnacentral:lncRNA from 1 species
AUUGGCCAAAUCUAAUCGAAAAUAUUUGUAUGACUAUAUACAAUUGGUAUAUGGUUUCCUAUAUAUACUACAGAGUAUCCACAAUAUAUGCAAAUAUCUUUAUGGUUUUUAUAAAAUCUAUGUUCCAAAAUAUUUCUAUUUACUUAUUGCUUGUGACUUCAAUUUUUUUUUUGAAGAAACUAAACUAAUCCAUUCAAAUUGGCACCAGAGAUAAUCGAACUCGAGAUCUAAAGGAGGAGCACACUCCCCACUAAAUUCUAAUCUUCUUAGAUUAUAAAUCAAUCAUGUAGGUUUUAUUUAUCCUUCACUAUUGUAGGUCUUCGAAUUUUUUUGCAUUCAUUGGAUUACGCCUUGUAAUAUAUAUAUAUAUAUAUAUAUAUUUCAUUCAAAAGAUAUGAAAAUAUAAGAGAAAUUAUAAGAGUUAAAAUAUUAUAAUGAGCAAUAAAACUAGGAGGUAAUAAUAGAGAAAUAAGACUUACUUUAAUUCUAUCGGGCUUACACAAACACUUUCCACGCACUUCAGUGUUCCAGGAAUAGCAUUUGGGAAAAAUUUAUAGCAAUCUUCAUCACUAUCACACUCUGUAAUGUACAUUAAAAAUAAGGAAAUAUCACUAAAAUAAAUGAAUGAUUGUGUAUAAAAUAAACAAAAUAUAACAUGAGAAUGAGCUUACUAUAUUUUGAACCAAAGACUACAACGAUAAAAAUAGGAACAAAAAGGAUAACAAUAUAAGCAAAUUUGAGAGUUUGAGCCAUUUUUUUUUUCACCUUUGCAUG